rnacentral:rRNA from 1 species
GACGAACGCUGGCGGCGUGCUUAACACAUGCAAGUCGAACGGAAAGGCCCUGCUUUUGUGGGGUGCUCGAGUGGCGAACGGGUGAGUAACACGUGAGUAACCUGCCCUUGACUUUGGUAUAACUUCAGGAAACUGGGGCUAAUACCGGAUAGGAGCUCCUGCUGCAUGGUGGGGGUUGGAAAGUUUCGGCGGUUGGGGAUGGACUCGCGGCUUAUCAGCUUGUUGGUGGGGUAGUGGCUUACCAAGGCUUUGACGGGUAGCCGGCCUGCGAGGGUGACCGGCCACACUGGGACUGAGAUACGGCCCAGACUCCUACGGGAGGCAGCAGUGGGGAAUAUUGCACAAUGGGAGGAAGCCUGAUGCAGCAACGCCGCGUGGGGGAUGACGGCCUUCGGGUUGUAAACCGCUUUCGCCUGUGACGAAGCGUGAGUGACGGUAAUGGGUAAAGAAGCACCGGCUAACUACGUG